rnacentral:lncRNA from 1 species
UUUGUACAAGGCACUAGGUUGGGAGAGUGGAGAGAUUUGAUCUCUUCAUGCAAAUUAUUAGAGCUCCAUCCUAACAAUCCUAACAAAUGAUGUUUUAGUGACAAUAAAAUCAGUUUGUUAUACGUACUACUAAAAAGGAUCUUACUCUAAAAAUUAAUUAAUCAGCAUCUGUAGGUGCUUCAUCAGCUACCAUUAUUAUUUAGAUUCCAUGUAUUAUUUACUUUUUGUCAUUCUGGCAUUAUAUAUAUAUGGUGAAUUUAACCUUCCAUUAGUCUGAUCAGGCUAAAUAUACAAAUAACAUUUGCUCUAGUCAUCUAUAUCAUUUUUUUUCACGAUUUUGUAGGAAUUAUUUUUCAAUAAGUCUAGCUAGCUAGCUAGCACGUAAAACCUCAUUCCAAUACCAAAGGGAAUGUUUCAUAUAUGGCUCAAAACAUUUAUUUUAAUAUUUGUCUUUAUAGUUUUCCUCAUAUCUCACCUCAAAACUCAUUUUUAACAGAGUUGAGAAAAGUUACGAAACAAAGUAUUUUAUGUGAUGAUGGUCUCUUUUGAUUCUAUUUGAAUCUGUACAUCAGAACUUGUUUUUAAUUAGAUACAUGAUAAUUUGCAUAGUACAUAGUUUACAAGGAAUAGACAGAACACCACAAAAAUGAUACCUGAAAACAAUAUUUAACCAUUUUGACUUUUCUCUUAGUAAAGGUCAGGCUUUCACUGAUAUUUAACAUGGCUUAUGCUGUGAUAAAUACAUAACUAUUCUGAGUUAUGAUUCUAGGCUAAAAGGCAUAAACAGUCUUCAGAAAAUGUACUUUUCAACCUGAAUUAUAUUGUUUAUUUUGACUACACAAAAACUCUGACUUUUUAAGUCAUUAUGUAGUAAGGUAUUCAGUAUAAAUAAUGUACUUUUAAAUGUUUUGCUGUUGAAUCUUUUAAGUUCCAAUCCUGUGUUUAACUGAAGUUGGACAUGAAAUCAGUGUUUGCAAUGUCAUUGAACCACAAAAAUGUGCAACUAAGAGAAAUGACUCUUCACUACCAUUGAAUCUUCUGGAAAACUUUAGUAAAGCAUAUGGCAUGCAUAAGAUACACAAAAAUAGCUGCACAAAAAUGCAACAAAUUAUUUUGUAUGGUAAUAGUGACCUUCAAUAUAGUUAUUUAAUUGUUCAUAUUUACUAUUUAUAAAAUCCCAAACUACAGGAUUUGGGAAAUUUUAAAAACAAAACAAUUAGAGUAUAUAAUGAAUAUAUCUUGUAAAGAAGACUGGCUUGUGGUGAAGACAUUGACUGACUGGAGGUAAUUCCCCCAUUCCCUGAGCCUUUGUGAAGAAAAUACUUUUUGUUCUGUUUUGUAACCUUUCAUAAAAAACUGUGCUGUUUAAGAUAUCUUGGUAAUUAAAAGGUAGAACAGUAUAGGAUUCCUAGAAGAAGUUCUAACAUUGGCUAUUAAAGAACAUUAAAUUAUGUUUUCAACUGUUUAUGAAGAUGAAAAUGCUAAGGGUAAAAGAGACCUUACCCAGUGGGAACUGUUUAAUUGGCUGAAGAAAACUUAAUCAGGGAAGGCAAUAAAUAUUAGUCUUGUGUACCAUGUGAUUAACUCAUCUUUUAACAUUCUCUGAUACAUGUUUUUAGAACAUCACUGACUACCUUGAGAAGAAUGGUUUUGGAGGGAAUCAAAACUAGGAGCCAAGUGGCCAUAUGGGAGGCUGGUGGAGUAAUCUGGGUGAGAUGACAGUGGCUUUGAUUGGGGUUGUAGCAUUGGGGAUGGAAAGAAAAACAUUUCAGGGAAUCUAAGGAAGAAAGGUUAGGAAGACUUGAUGAUUGGUUGGAAAAAG